UACGAAGGGGGCUAGCGUUGUUCGGAAUCACUGGGCGUAAAGGGCGCGUAGGCGGCUUUAUAAGUCGGGGGUGAAAGCCUGUGGCUCAACCACAGAAUUGCCUUCGAUACUGUAUGGCUUGAGACCGGAAGAGGUAAGUGGAACUGCGAGUGUAGAGGUGAAAUUCGUAGAUAUUCGCAAGAACACCAGUGGCGAAGGCGGCUCACUGGCCCGGUACUGACGCUGAGGUGCGAAAGCGUGGGGAGCAAACAGG
rnacentral:rRNA from 1 species